UACGAAGGGGGCUAGCGUUGUUCGGAAUUACUGGGCGUAAAGCGCACGUAGGCGGACUCUUAAGUCAGGGGUGAAAUCCCGGGGCUCAACCUCGGAACUGCCUUUGAUACUGUGAGUCUCGAGACCGGAAGAGGUGAGUGGAAUUCCUAGUGUAGAGGUGAAAUUCGUAGAUAUUAGGAAGAACACCAGUGGCGAAGGCGGCUCACUGGUCCGGUUCUGACGCUGAGGUGCGAAAGCGUGGGGAGCAAAC
rnacentral:rRNA from 1 species